rnacentral:lncRNA from 10 species
GCCCAGGCUGGUUUUGAACUCCUGAACUCAAGAAAAUCCUCUCACUUUGGCCUCCCACAAUUCCUACGUUGAAGCAUUAACCCCCCAUGAUGGCAUUUGGAGGUGGGGCUUUAAGAGGUAAUUCGUUUUAGAUGAGGCUGUAAGGGUGGGACCCUCAAGAUGGGAUCAGUGUCUGCUGUGGUCUGAAUGUUGGUGUUCCCCCAGAAUUUAUAUGUUGAGACUUAACCUUCAAGGUAAUGGUAUUAGAAGGUAGGGCCUUUGGGAGGUGAUUGGAUCAGAGGGGUGGAGGCUUCACAAAUGGGAUUAGUGUCUUUAAAAAAGAGGCUGUAGAGAAACUGCUUCCCCCUCAUGUGAGGACGCAAUAAGACACCAUCUUUGAAGCAGAAAGUAGCCCUCACCAGACACUGAAUCUGUUGACACCUUGAUCUUGGACUUCCCAGCCUGCAGAACUAUAAGCAGUACAUUUCUGUUGUUUAUAAAUUACCCAAGCUCAGGUAUUUUGUUACAGCAGCCAAAACAGACUAGGACAGUACCCUUAUAAGAAAAGGAAGGCAGAAAUCUCCCCCUCUUUCCACGAGCACACACCAACAAAAGGCCAUGUGAACACACAGUGAGAAGGCAGCUGUCUACAAACCAGGAAGAGAGCCCCCACCAGAACCCCACCAUGCUGGCACCUUGAUCUCAGACUUCCAGUCUCCAAAACUGGGAGAGAUAAAUUUCUGUGGUUUAAACCACCCCAUCUGUGGUACUUUGUUAGGGCAGCCUGCACUGACUGAGACACAGGGUAAACCCCUAUUUAACUCCAUCCUUCCCCUCAAGGCGAGCAAGCUUGUCCCUCAGGUCACCUUCCUCCCGCUGCUAAAAAUAAUCCCACCUUAGCCAGGCCCAAGUGAUCUUCACUUCUUUCCUUCCUUCCUUCCUUCUACAGAUCAUGGGACUAAGCUUCUGACUUCUGGAAGUCAGGGAGAAGAUACAGAAACCAAACCUAUGUUUCUGCACACACCGGGCAUGGGACAUCCUCUCUUUCAAAGACCAACUAGAAAAAUCUGACGGCUCCAGGAUGGUUUGCACCAACAUCAUUCCAGGGAGAGGUGUUCUGUCUGCUUCUUUCCAACUGUGAUUGGCCUUGUCCAACAUUCUCUCUCCAACAUGCGCGCUGUGUCUGGUUUUUAUAAAUAUCCUCCGGAAGGAGGUGAAAAGGUCAUCCUGACUCACAUCAGCAAAAGUAAGAGGGCAUUGGUGGAGCUUGUCUCCAUCAAUGAUAUAUUUUAGAAAUCUCCUAGCAACAACAAGCCUCUUUGUUAUUGAAAUGUUUUUGAA